ACAGCCAUAUAGCGUUGAAACACUGGUUUCCAUACGAUCACUGAAGUUAAAUAACAUUGAGCCUAGCCAGUCCCUAGAUGGUUGACCGCUUGGGAAUACCAAGUGCUA